UUUCCGGCUCCUGUUUAUGUGGUUCAAAAGCUUUUUCUCCUCAACUCAUUUUUCUGUGGCAAAAUGAUGGUGAUGUGGGAUGUAGGGCUUCUCCUAAUCGUCUUCCUCCUCUACUCAGUGGAGAUAUGUUGCUUCCUCCUCUAAUCAAUCGAGAUCUGUUGCUUCCUCUUGUUUUCCGGCUCUCGUUUAUGUGGUUCCAGAGCCAUUUCUCUUCAACUCAUUUUUCUAUGGCAAAAUGAUGGUGAUGUGGGCUGGCCAUUAUGCCGGUUGAGCAGGAGGCAAGAUUCUGAGAGCGGUAAUGGCGGGUGCGUGUGGGGAUCCGAUGCUGAUAGAGAUAAUUUCUACAGAGCACAACCGCCCUGGCCGUGCGAACAGAGACCUCGAUGUUCAAGGUGAAGCGGAAGUGCUCGGCUCCGGAAGAAGAGACAUCGGUAGGCAACACAGCAAGUGAAGCAAACCUUCUGUAGAGGCUGUCCUCUCGGUCAACGCCACUCAUCGUCACACAUGUAAGGUAAACAUGCUCUGCUGUGUUAUGUAUAGAAUCGAUGCAGCUAGCGAUGUCCCAUCAAACCAAAUCCAGAUGUUUUCGAUGGAACGGCAUAUACACAAAAGGACAUGGGAUGCACAAGUGGAACUACUGACCACAUCAUAUUAUGGAACAAAACGCUGAUGAAAAUAACUAACAUAACUGCACUAUAUGUAGAUAGUGUUUUCUAAAGAUGCAUCAACUCUUGCAGGUUUCUUAAGCAUUCAAUAUUUGCAGCUAUCAUCGGUAGAUAUCUGAACUUAGCUGUCUGAGCAUCACCUGGGUCCUCCAAUUAGGCUUGAACAGUCAGUUCCUAAGCCCUGCAGUUAAUUUAAAUAAGCAAUGCUUACUCUGUGCAUACCUAUGGAAAUCGUUGCAUCAAUCGGUAUCCAGAAACCUACCAUAGCAGCACUUGGGAAACAUUACCCUCUAGAAUAGCGGCAACCUGGAAAACAGAAAACAAUGAAAGGUAGAGUAACACAAGGCAGAAAAAUGAGCCACUGAAUGUGAUGUAACUUCACCUAACCUAAGCUGCAUUCGUAACUCCAUCAACUGCCAGAAUCAACCUUAAUGACACAUAUUCACAGUUCAUGCCGGCAAAUAGUAAAAAUGAAUUUCCUGCAUAUAGUCAUGCACUCCUGCUCCUGGAUAAUUGCCAAAUAAUCAGUUGCUGCAUCGUGUAAGGCAACAAAAAAUAAUACUCUGGAUAAUUCAUAAAAACUCAACACAGAAAUAGGGCCAUAAAGAGAAAAUAUAACCAGCCUAAGCAUGGUCUGACCUACAAUAACCUUGAUUUAAACUGAAAGGCAAGCAUAUCUAUGUUGGCAGAUAAGGUGUCUGCAUAACAUCUUACUUGCAACAGCUAAUAGCACAGAAUAGGGACACAUGUAGAACUACAUAGCUGAGCUUCAGUGCAUGUAACAUGUAGUAAUAGAAAGUACAGGUUUUAUAGUAAUCCACUGUUGAAAGGUCAGGUGUCUCCCUGCGCUGGCACUGCUGGCGAGAGUUCACCUUGCAACUCAGGAGAAUCCAAUUAUUCCCUCUGCCGUCGUGGACGCAGAGUAGGAGGCGGCAGCUAAUCAUCUAGCUCAGUGAUCUUCUCCUUAUCAUCCCCAUUGGCACCAAAUAUAUUCUUUAUAUGAUAAAAUUCGUUUUUUGUAUCAUAAAUAUAUAUCUGAGCAUUCUUGGGAGUAGAAAUGUAGGGUCAUCAUCUCGAGGAAGCAAAUAAAUAGUCUUGUGAGCGGCUACCCCAUAAAUUUUGAAAACAUAUGGACCAAUUUGCAAUAUUAACACUCCUGUGAAGGUGAACACCGGUAGAUGUAAAAGGAAACAUGCAAUGAGGGGUAAUAAGCAUUCAUAUGAUUAGUGUAGAAUGCUAAACUCUUAUUUUUCUCUCAGAAUACUGAAAGUCCCCGACAUCCAGAAUUGUUAAAAGUGUUGUUUCGGGUACAAAGAUGACAAACUACACAGCGAAAACGGCACUCGAUGUGAGAAUCAAGCACAAGCUAAUUCUAGAGUCCUUUUUUGUUGCAAAUUUGUUUGAGAAAAAAGGGGUGUACCCAGGAAGAGUAAAAAAAAUCUCAGCCUGGUAUUUUAUUACAGAUGCAUGGUAGAGAUACUCAACACUUCAGAUAGUAUAAGAGUAAAUGAUCAUAAUUGUAAUAAACAUAGUACCUCGCGAUAAUGAUGAUGAAGUCUAGUUCACAUCGACAGGUGUAGGAAGAGAACUCGAAUCAAGAUGUCACCCAACAGAAGAAUCCAGCAGAACACUGCACAACACACAUUAAGGUCUUGGAAAAAUGGCAGAAGUAAAUAGAAUAAGUUAAAUAGCAACGGUAAAAGCAUCAAGAAGUAAUUUGGUGUAUAGUUCCGUAAAAAUGUUGUGUAGAAUUUGCUAACAAAUGAAAAAAAAUAAAAAAAAUAGGAACACAAAAGGUGCGAAACUCAUUAACUAUUACAGAAAUAACCCUCAUGGUGCAGUCUAGAAACUGCUCUAUGUUUCUGAAAUAAAGGGAUGGGGACAAAAACCAUACUGGUAACUCAACAGCUAUUGCAGACAUAACCCUCAUGGUGCAGCCUAGAAACUGCUCUUAUGUUCCUGAAAUAAAGGGAUGGAGACACAAACCAUACUUGAAGAUAAAUUCAUAGGUGCCCAGCAAGUAGUUUUGUAUAGUGUAUAAACCUCGACGAAAACAAUGACAAUAGAAGCUUGUUGUUCAGAACAGGCCAGAUUUAUCUUCCAGCAGGCAUACAAUAGGCAUGUUCAAUGUUUUAACCUUUGAGCCUGUUGUUGACCUCUGAAACUCAAAAAUAUUGAAUUUCUCAUGUCAACAAUGCAACACAGGCAGAUAAAAAUACUCUGCUAGUCAUAAAAAUCCCAUUAGAUAACCUGCAAGGCAACAGUUUCAAACUAUACAAUAGAGAAUUUCUCAUUAUAAAAAACAUAACAUGGAUGUAAACCACCAUUUGAAAUAUACUAACUGGUCCUGCUGAACCUCUUCCUUUUAAAGCCUUAUAAUUGAAAAUUAUACCUUGAUUCAAAAAAGGCAUCACCGUAACUCAUUCUGAUACCUUGACAGUUCUUUACAUGUGAAUGGUGUAGCACUACCAUAUUCUUUUACAACAGAUUCGUGAACUCUUUAGCCUCUAAUCCAUGCUUUGGAAGUUCUAUCUAAAAAGAGUAGCAAGAUGGGGAUGGAGUGCUUGCUCACCAGCAUUAGGAAGAUGUAGUCGCCCUUGGGUGUGCAGGAGGAGAGGCAGCAGCGCCGCAGCUCAUCUAGAAAAUUGAGGAGGAGCACCUACAGUAGGAGGAUGUAAAAAAUGUGAGAAUUCAGUUAGCUAGCCAAGUGAACCAUUGUUCAUAUCCACUACAGCACACCUGAAUGAUACUCCCUCCGUUCCCUAUUAAUUGACUCUGAUUGCGUACAAAGUUGUACUAAAUCAGAGUCAAUUAAUAGGAACAGAAGGAGUAUAUUAUAAAAAUAAUGCAUUCUACUCAUUUGAUUGUGCAGAUCAAGCCAUGUUAUGGCAAGAGUCUCCCCUACAGUUCAACGGCAACAAUUGUGCAACAUAAGAACAGACAGGAGGAGGGAUUCAAUACACAUCGCAUAUGCUGAAGGAUUUCUAGAUCAAAACACAAAUAAGGAACGGCGGAGGCAAGUUGGAGGAGUAGGAGAGUGGCAGCCACAAGUUUAUUCUCCACCGGAGGCAGGCCUUCUCCGUAUGCCAGUGCUUCAUGUCCAUGUUGUCACCUGCAGCAAAGUGGAGAAAAGUGGCAGUGCUUCCUGUACAUGUUGUCACCUGCAGCAAAGUGGAGAAAAGUGGCCGCGGGUGCAAGAUUUGAUGACCUGCAGGCAGCUGCUUGCCAUUUUGGCGAACGCAACCGCAUGGAAACGUGGCCAAGUCGUGGCCCGCCGCCUCAAUCCCUGGAGCAAGGUCCUCAUCCAUAUGCACAUGGUCGAGCACCCGCCUGCUCAUAGUCCUCGUCCAGAUGCCCCUGCUUGCUCGAUGCAAAGGUGCAGGAGGCUAGAUAGAAGGAGGCCUACCUCCCGGGCAGCCGUGGGUAUGGUCACCACCAGGGUGUGCACUCGUCAAGAGGGCCUGAUGAUGUGCAAUGAGAAAAACCACCAGGGUGUGAAUUACAGGGAUAAAACACAGAAAACAAACUAGAGGGAGCGGCGCUGGGCAUGAUCACCAUCAGGAUGUGGACUCGCCAAGAAGGCCUGAUGAUCUGUAAUGAGAAAAAACCCAUCAAGAUGUGAUACAGUGAACAAACCAGAGGGAAGAGGCGCAUCGACCUGGACAUCGUUGAAGUGCCUGAGGCCUGCGUAGCGUACGCCGGGAGGAGGCGGGACCACAGCAGCAAGGCACGAUCACCACUCCAUCCGGCUGCUCCGCGCGUCCUCUCCUGUUGGCGUCAGCAUCUUCCUCGGCCUGUUGGCACAACUCUCAGAGGAGCAACGGCUGGGAAGAGCGGCUCCUAGGAGGGUGCAGGUGGAGGUGGAAAUCAUCCAGGAGGGGGCGAUGAAUGGAGAUCGGCUAGGGAGGGAGGCGGUGGAGGAAUGAUGGAGAAGUGUGGAGAGAGAAAAUUCUAGAGACCCGAUCGUAUCGUGGGCAAGUAGCACCGCUUUCACCGCUUUGAUCGAGUCUAAAAAGUAAAUCGGAAAACCGGAGAUUAACGGGACCCAUCGAUGAAGCAAUGCGCAGGAACCGGAAACAAUCGGGAUAAACGUUCCCGGAGAAGAAGGAUCUACCGGUGGAUCCAGCCUGCUCCCGGUAAAUAGGAACUAUAUAAGGGAAAUAAAAGAAAAGAAAACGAAAUAGACUCCCGCUGGAGUAACACGUGAACAGUAAAAACCGGACGUGUCAAUGCCUGAUUGGAUAGACGGAGGACGAAUCAGGGGUUUGGAAGCACGAGCAGCGUUCCCGUUCAGUACAAGUG